rnacentral:rRNA from 1 species
UGUGGUGAUGAUGGCAAGAAGGGUCACACCUGUUCCCAUGCCGAACACAGAAGUUAAGCUUCUUAGCGCCGAUGGUAGUGAAGGGUUUCCCUUUGUGAGAGUAGGACGUUGCCACGC